ACGCUCGACACCUACGGAGGCAGCAGUGGGGAAUAUUGCACAAUGGGGGAAACCCUGAUGCAGCGACGCCGCGUGGAGGAAGAAGGUCUUCGGAUUGUAAACUCCUGUUGUUGGGGAAAAAGAGGAUGGUACCCAACAAGGAAGUGACGGCUAACUACGUGCCAGCACGCCGGACGGUAAUCUGGAGGCCGGGUCGUGGACGAAGGC
rnacentral:rRNA from 1 species